CUAUCGUUAACUGAAUACAUAGGUUAACGAGGCGAACCGGGGGAACUGAAACAUCUAAGUACCCCGAGGAAAAGAAAUCAACCGAGAUUCCCCCAGUAGCGGCGAGCGAACGGGGAGCAGCCCAGAGUCUGAAUCAGCUUGUGUGUUAGUGGAACGGUCUGGAAAGUCCGACGGUACAGGGUGAUAGUCCCGUACACCAAAAUGCACAGGUUGUGAACUCGAAGAGUAGGGCGGGACACGUGGUAUCCUGUCUGAAUAUGGGGGGACCAUCCUCCAAGGCUAAAUACUCCUGACUGACCGAUAGUGAACCAGUACCGUGAGGGAAAGGCGAAAAGAACCCCGGCGAGGGGAGUGAAAAAGAACCUGAAACCGUGUACGUACAAGCAGUGGGAGCACCUUCGGGUGUGACUGCGUACCUUUUGUAUAAUGGGUCAGCGACUUAUAUUCUGUAGCAAGGUUAACCGUAUAGGGGAGCCGCAGGGAAACCGAGUCUUAACUGGGCGUUAAGUUGCAGGGUAUAGACCCGAAACCCGGUGAUCUAGCCAUGGGCAGGUUGAAGGUUGGGUAACACUAACUGGAGGACCGAACCGACUAAUGUUGAAAAAUUAGCGGAUGACUUGUGGCUGGGGGUGAAAGGCCAAUCAAACCGGGAGAUAGCUGGUUCUCCCCGAAAGCUAUUUAGGUAGCGCCUCGUGAACUCAUCUUCGGGGGUAGAGCACUGUUUCGGCUAGGGGGUCAUCCCGACUUACCAACCCGAUGCAAACUACGAAUACCGAAGAAUGUUAUCACGGGAGACACACGGCGGGUGCUAACGUCCGUCGUGAAGAGGGAAACAACCCAGACCGCCAGCUAAGGUCCCAAAGUCAUGGUUAAGUGGGAAACGAUGUGGGAAGGCACAGACAGCCAGGAUGUUGGCUUAGAAGCAGCCAUCAUUUAAAGAAAGCGUAAUAGCUCACUGGUCGAGUCGGCCUGCGCGGAAGAUGUAACGGGGCUAAACCAUGCACCGAAGCUGCGGCAGCGACACUAUGUGUUGUUGGGUAGGGGAGCGUUCUGUAAGCCUGCGAAGGUGUGCUGUGAGGCAUGCUGGAGGUAUCAGAAGUGCGAAUGCUGACAUAAGUAACGAUAAAGCGGGUGAAAAGCCCGCUCGCCGGAAGACCAAGGGUUCCUGUCCAACGUUAAUCGGGGCAGGGUGAGUCGACCCCUAAGGCGAGGCCGAAAGGCGUAGUCGAUGGGAAACAGGUUAAUAUUCCUGUACUUGGUGUUACUGCGAAGGGGGGACGGAGAAGGCUAUGUUAGCCGGGCGACGGUUGUCCCGGUUUAAGCAUGUAGGCUGGUUAUCCAGGCAAAUCCGGAUAAUCAAGGCUGAGGUGUGAUGACGAGGCACUACGGUGCUGAAGUAACAAAUGCCCUGCUUCCAGGAAAAGCCUCUAAGCAUCAGGUAACAUCAAAUCGUACCCCAAACCGACACAGGUGGUCAGGUAGAGAAUACCAAGGCGCUUGAGAGAACUCGGGUGAAGGAACUAGGCAAAAUGGUGCCGUAACUUCGGGAGAAGGCACGCUGGUGUGUAGGUGAAGUCCCUGCGGAUGGAGCUGAGACCAGUCGAAGAUACCAGCUGGCUGCAACUGUUUAUUAAAAACACAGCACUGUGCAAACACGAAAGUGGACGUAUACGGUGUGACGCCUGCCCGGUGCCGGAAGGUUAAUUGAUGGGGUUAUCCGUAAGGAGAAGCUCUUGAUCGAAGCCCCGGUAAACGGCGGCCGUAACUAUAACGGUCCUAAGGUAGCGAAAUUCCUUGUCGGGUAAGUUCCGACCUGCACGAAUGGCGUAAUGAUGGCCAGGCUGUCUCCACCCGAGACUCAGUGAAAUUGAACUCGCUGUGAAGAUGCAGUGUACCCGCGGCAAGACGGAAAGACCCCGUGAACCUUUACUAUAGCUUGACACUGAACAUUGAGCCUUGAUGUGUAGGAUAGGUGGGAGGCUUUGAAGCGUGGACGCCAGUCUGCGUGGAGCCAACCUUGAAAUACCACCCUUUAAUGUUUGAUGUUCUAACGUUGGCCCCUGACCGGGGUUGCGGACAGUGUCUGGUGGGUAGUUUGACUGGGGCGGUCUCCUCCCAAAGCGUAACGGAGGAGCACGAAGGUUAGCUAAUCCUGGUCGGACAUCAGGAGGUUAGUGCAAUGGCAUAAGCUAGCUUGACUGCGAGCGUGACGGCGCGAGCAGGUGCGAAAGCAGGUCAUAGUGAUCCGGUGGUUCUGAAUGGAAGGGCCAUCGCUCAACGGAUAAAAGGUACUCCGGGGAUAACAGGCUGAUACCGCCCAAGAGUUCAUAUCGACGGCGGUGUUUGGCACCUCGAUGUCGGCUCAUCACAUCCUGGGGCUGAAGUAGGUCCCAAGGGUAUGGCUGUUCGCCAUUUAAAGUGGUACGCGAGCUGGGUUUAGAACGUCGUGAGACAGUUCGGUCCCUAUCUGCCGUGGGCGCUGGAGAAUUGAGGGGGGCUGCUCCUAGUACGAGAGGACCGGAGUGGACGCAUCACUGGUGUUCGGGUUGUCAUGCCAAUGGCACUGCCCGGUAGCUAAAUGCGGAAGAGAUAAGUGCUGAAAGCAUCUAAGCACGAAACUUGCCCCGAGAUGAGUUCUCCCUGAGACUAUAAGUCUCCUGAAGGAACGUUAAAGACGAUGACGUUGAUAGGCCGGGUGUGUAAGCGCAGCGAUGCGUUGAGCUAACCGGUACUAAUGAACCGUGAGGCUUAACCUU
rnacentral:rRNA from 1 species